CACUCGAGUGGCGGACGGGUGAGUAACGCGUGGGUAACCUGCCUUACAUAGGGGGAUAACACCUGGAAACAGGUGCUAAUACCGCAUAAGCGCACAGGGCCGCAUGGCCCGGUGUGAAAAACUCCGGUGGUGUAAGAUGGACCCGCGUCUGAUUAGCUUGUUGGCGGGGUAGGGGCCCACCAAGGCGACGAUCAGUAGCCGGCCUGAGAGGGUGGACGGCCACAUUGGGACUGAGACACGGCCCAAACUCCUACGGGAGGCAGCAG
rnacentral:rRNA from 1 species